rnacentral:rRNA from 1 species
AUUGAACGCUGGCGGCAGGCCUAACACAUGCAAGUCGAACGAGUGGCGGACGGGUGAGUAAUGUCUGGGAAACUGCCUGAUGGAGGGGGAUAACUACGGGAAACGGUAGCUAAUACCGCAUACCAUCAGAUAAGCCCAGCUGGGAUUAGCUUGUUGGUGGGGUAAAGGCUCCCCAAGGCGACGAUCCCUAGCUGGUCUUAGAGGAUGAACAGCCACACUGGAACUGAGACACGGUCCAGACUCCUACGGGAGGCAGCAGUGGGGAAUAUUGCACAAUGGGCGAAAGCCUGAUACAGCCAUGCCGCGUGUAUGAAGAAGGCCUUCUGGUUGUAAAGUACUUUCAGCGGGGAGGCGUUACCCGCAGAAGAAGCACCGGCUAACUCCGUGCCAGCAGCCGCGGUAAUAC